GAUGAAUAUGUGGACAAACUGAGGGAAUGGAGCUGAAUCUUUUGGCGAUUUUAAGCAUUUAGGAGAUGUCAAACGGAUGAAGCCCAACUACCAAGGACUAGAAGAACAGAAGUUAAGCGUGCUAUCUCCGUGAAUUAACGAUUAUAAAAAACUCAGCACAGGAUGGUGAUACUGCU